GGAUAUAGGCGACGUGCAUGUCACAGUCCAGCACCACAUCUGCCGGUCUCACUGUCACUCAAAAUAUUUCAAGAUGGACUGUGGGUGUGGCUGGCUGCGAAGAUCUCAUUAUCACGGUCGGCAACAACCUUACCGCCCUCUGCGGCGACCUUCUUUGCGGUAUGAUGCUGUACGGACGCUAAGUCGUGGCGCCGGAGACGCAGCUCGACCAGUGGGGAGGCACUGGCUGGACCCGCCAGUCACGUCGCCCCUCGCCAGCCCCGCCGUUAUCACCAUGACCUCUAUCAAGAAGGGGUACGGGUCGCCGACAAGACGAGGGAACAGCCAGCUGCGUUCUCCGGUGAUCAAGCGGCCGCUGUCGGCCCCCGUCACCAUACAGGGCUGGCUACACAAGCAGGGCAGCGAUGGCCUUAUGCUCUGGAAGAAGCGCUGGUUCGUCCUCUCCGACUACUGCCUCUUCUACUACAAAACAUCUGAGGAGGAGAAAUUGCUUGGUUCAAUACUGCUACCAUCGUACAAAAUCUCUCCAUGUGGGGUUGAGGAUAAAAUCUACCGCAAGUUUAGCUUCAAGGCUGAACAUGCCAACAUGCGGACAUACUACUUUGCUGCAGACACCCAGCCACUCAUGGCCCAGUGGAUGAACGCAUUAAGCCUCGCAUCGAUCCUACAGGAGAGCACCAGUUGGGAGGAGCGAAAGUCCACUUCCUCUCACCAGCAGAACCAUAGCGCAGAUGAUAGUGACUCAGGGUUCCAUGGACACUUCCGACCAACCAAUGACAGCUCAGGCGAGUGUGUCACCCCUAGUAAUGGCUGGAGACCUUCACAACAAGGUUACCAUCAGCCGCUCUAUGCCAAUGCUCCUCCUAAGCCUCGGCGACUUAACAAUGACACCUCCUCUCCCGAGAGAUCUCCUGAGCGAGCAUCUGAGGAUGGCAGUGGUAGGAUCUCCAAACUUGCUCAACCACAAGAGUACACACUGCGGAAUGAGAGAGCGUACAACUACACGGCACAACACUCCCAUCGCCCUCCACUUAUGCUACCUCCCAACUCUCAGCCGCAGGAGAGGCGGACUCCUGAUACGUAUGGAAGAUCUAAUUCCACCACUCCACAGACAGGAAAAGUUAUUUCAUCUAAAAUGAGGACUCUGGACUAUGAAGAUGUUUACCAAACUAAUCCUGAACUCGUGAGUGCAAUGUAUCCGCAGAAUGUGAUGUAUAGUAAUCAACCGGUGCAAUAUCGCCAGAAUCGACCAAAUGAUUCCAUGUGUCAUAGUAUGCCAUCAGAUGGACGAAAACGCUUUCCUCCUCGUCCUCACAGUGCAGAUUUCCUGGAGUACGAUGCUCGAAGGGCAUACCAAUCACCGACGCCUCAGAGCAGUGACUCUGGAAAUCAACAGUAUUAUAACCAAAGGAACUCUGUUCAGCCUAGGAGGCCUAAAUCUAGUUUAGACAUUGUUCAUUCUGAAACAGGCCCUGAUGGAACUCAUUGGUCAGAGGAAAGUUAUGCUAGGAAAAUGCGGCAAUCUGCUUCAUACGUUUCACCUCAAUUACAAAACCUCUCCAAUUCAUCUAGGGCAACAACACCUUCUGUCAGACAAGUCCCGAUAAUGCCAGGAUAUUAUAAUGGUCCAAUGAAUGGAGAAUUGGCAAGUGUGAUGAUGAGGCAACAUUCGGAGGCUAUCCAUGCCCAGGAGCGAAGGUGGAGUGAGUAUGUGGACAGGACCAAUGGACAGUUCACUCGGUCUGCAUCCGCUCGACUCCCGAGGCACGGGAACGAUGAUAGGAUGGAGGAUGAUGGUUCAGAUAAAAGUUAUCAGGCUGCAUUCAGGCGGAGAAAUAGCUCAGACAACAGGGACCCUGCAAUAAAAUCUCAGCAGAGAGAAGAGUCAAUGAAGCGAUUGCUGGAGUGGAAGCAACGCAUGCUCCAGUCUCCACUGACUCGAAAGUCCAGUGGUUCCAGUGGUCGAGGCACAGCUCAAAAUCAACUGUCCCAGUACUACCAGCAGGUUCAGGAUUCCAGAUCAAGGAGUUUGACAAAUGACACUCAGCCAAAUCCGAAUGCGUGGCGACGUGAUGGGUGGGAUAAGGAUGUAAUGGAACAUGCGCGAGUUGCACGCCGCAAGCACUCUGAUGCAGGACGCAGCCGUUCACAAGAUGGUCGCCGCUCAGUAACUUCUGUCAGUCGAUACAACAGUUACUCUAGCGAUGACGAAGAACCUGGAGGCACGAGAGAAUGUCGGAAACGAGUUCGCCGAUCCUCAAAAGAAGCAAGCAGAUCAAGAGUCAACUCUCUAGAGGGGAAAUCAUCAAGAGCUGCUCCUACCCCUCUCUCUUUUCCUGACUAUGAGAAUGUUACUCUUUCUGAGAAAACCAUGAGCAAAGAUAGGACUGAUAUAACAAGAACUCCGACCUCCCAAACUAAAAUUAGGCCUGACUCAGACUAUUCAAACUUAAACAAUAGUGUUGAUGAUAAUAAAAUAGAUAGAAAUUAUUCCAAUAAGAGCCCUCACAGAAACAAGUCUUCAGAGGAUUAUGGUCCAGGAGAAAGUUUUGACAGCGGUAAUACUUUAGCGGAAUCAAGUAUUCUUGGGUAUGAAGAUAGGUUUACAAUAAGUAGUAAACACUCAGACAGUGGAUAUGACACAUUACAAACAGGAGGUGUUCUACCAGCAGAUCCUGAAGUUAAUGACUUGCUUAAAUUUCGUUUCGACAAGAGAAAGUCUCCCAAUGCUGUAGUUGCAUAUCCUGUCCAUACUAAAACUGGGAAAUCUUUUGAAAGUUGGGGUGAGAAAAUAGAUGAAUCAAGACUGAUUAAAGAGUUUUCUUACCAGUAUAUUAAAUCAAAUAAGAAUGAUGGAAAAAAUUUAGAAGAUGACAAAGAUAGAAAAAGUUCAAAAGUCCUUCUGACUAAAAGAUUUGAAAUUCCACCUCAAAAUAUAGUUCAAAAUAGAAUUAAAGUUUUUGAAACAACUAAAGAAGAUGAUCAUUCUAAUUUGGCACAAAAUAAAGAAAAUAAAUUAAAAAUGCAAGAACCUUUGAAAAUGUCUUCACCAAUUUAUCAGCCAAAUGAAGCUCACGUUUCUAGCACAAAAAUAUUAGAAAUAAAACGGGAAAGUCCUAGAAAAACAGAGGAGGAAAUGUCAAAUCUUCGAAGAUCUAGAAGAACAAGCCUUCAUGGUUUUGCAUUAGGAGAUGCAAUUUCAAUGUUGGAUGAAGAAGCUAAAUAUGCAAAACGAGAAAAUCUCUCAAAUGGGCAAAAUCCAAAGUCUGUUAAAGAUUUACUUGCUGAUUUUGAAAGGAAAUCACAACUUGCCCAAGAACAAUUAGCAGCUGAAGAAAAAAGCAGUGAAGACAGUCCUGGAAAGCGAUGUGUUUUUAGUGAUACUGAGACAUUGUUAUAUGAUACUUCCAGUGAUGUUGAGAAUAAUCACGAAAGAGAAGUUUUAUCUGGGCUUACAAGAUCUGAAAUGACAGUUAGUGAAGAUGAUGAAGAUAGAGAUGAGGAGGUUGCUGCUGUUCUAGGAAGAAAAGAUAAAUUUGUAAGCUCUUGUAGGGAUUUGGGAAGGAAAAUAGAUUCUAAACAAAGAAAUAAUAAAUCAUUCAAUAGUAGUGCAGAUCAAAAUGAAAUAGAAAAAAAUGUAACUCCAGGAUAUAUGCGACUUAGUAUGACAGAGUCAGUAGUAACUUAUGAAGAUUCUGGAUCACAUUCAAGUACUCCAAAACUAGAACAAACAAAAAUUGAUGAACACAAACCAAAACUGUCAAGUAGUCCUGAACAGCAUUAUAUGCCAAUGACUCCAUCAAAAAAACCUUUUGUAGGACCUAUAAUUGACGUUUUUGCUCACACUAGAACUAGCUCAAUGUCUCAGAGUUUUACUGCUGAAAAUGGUGGAGAAGAAAGCUCAUAUGUUGAAAUGACAAAUGGAAAUAUCCAAUCACUUUUAGCUCCAGAUUCUGGCCAAGAACAGGUUUCAUCAAGUGUUCUUACAGACACACAAAAUUAUUGUGAAAUAAGAACUGAAAAGGAUUCUGUUCAUUAUGAAUUUCUUUAUAAAGCUAGUACAUCUGUGGAGCCUUUAUACAUGGAGGUUAGCCCUCUCUUAGAAGGAGACAACAAUGAUGGAAAAAACCAUUCAUUCAAAGAAAAUUCUACUUGUCCACAAAGGGAAGAGACUGAAGGAGCUGAACAACCUCCUACACCUCCUAGAACAGCACUACCUGAUAUUUUAAACCCUUCCUUGAAUGGUAACCAAAAACAAUCAUCUAUAAAAUCAGACAGUUCUGAUGCAGAUGAUGAAGCAUCCAAAGAUUUAGAUUCUUUAGAUGCUCCUCGGCAUCCACGAUUUAGCCUCUCUGAUACAUUUAGACCUGCUUCAUAUUAUCUGGGGGCUAGCAUUGGUGAGAGAACACUAAUUGGUAUGACUGCAGAACAUCCAGAUUCUUCAGACAGUGACUUAGUAUCGCCUCCUCCAAUUCCCACAAGCCCUCCUCCUCUUGAUGAUUUGGAAACAAGUUUAGAAUCAGCAGUUGACGUUAAAAAAUUAUCUCCUGUACAGAUAAAAAGUGAUUCAUGCAAAAUUGACAUUGAAGGUAAAGAUAAUAGCAGAAGGCUUUGGAAUCCUACUCCUCUUUUAGGAAAAGAUGUAAGAAGCUUACAGGAGCGAAUGGAAAGUCUAAAUUUAUCCCCAAUUCUUGACGAUAAUUUAAGUUCUGAGACAGACUCGGUAGACUCAAGCAAACGAGACCGAUUGCUGAAGAGAAGACCUGUUUCUGCUGACAUUCUUAACAGUUUACAAGAUCCUGGUUUCCUCCAUUGUUCAUCCCUAAAUGGAAGACAGUCAGGAGGAAGUGAUUUGGACUCAGUAGGAAGUAGAAAUGGACUCGCAAUGGACUUGGAGGAAGGAGAAGGAAUUGAUUUUGACCAUUACUUAGAAGAUUUACAAAACAAUAGUCAGUUGGCUCCGAAAUUACCUGUGAAAGACAUUAAGUAUGACUGUUAUAAAUCACAUGAAAAUCAAAAAUAUGAUUCCCAAAAUACACCAUCAACAAUAGUGAUGCCAGAAUCCAUUUCUUACACUCCUGAUGGAUCAAGUUCAAAUAACCAAGAGUACAGAACUAAGUACAAACAACCAUACCCUUAUCCAUCUCCCCUAAAUCGAAAUGAUGAGGUGCAUUAUGAGAAUCUCCAGGGUCUGUUCCCUCCUCCGCCAUCUGCUGAGUAUCUUCAAGAGUUAUCAUCUGAGAAUGAUACAACAAUAAGGUAUUCUAGCCCAGAAGGUGGCCUUCCAAGAUCUUCUCCAGUAAGAAUAGUUGAAGGCCAAGCAAACAGAGAAAUAAAUUUACAAGCAGGUGCGCCCUAUUAUUAUUCUGAUUUACUUAAAGCAGAGCAAGCAAAUCAAGCAAGCAACAGAAUGUCAAACAUAUCUAGAUCAGUUAGAAUGCAACAACUAAACAAUCAAAGAGAGGACAAUAAUCUAACAGAAGUAAAUUUUCUCAAUAAAAGAAAUGAUAUAGGUAGAAGAGUAAAUGCUAUUCAUCAGCUUCUACCAGGACAAGUGAUAGACAGAGAUGAUGCAGCAAAGCUUGCUGAGGAACUGAGAACAACUUCAGUCCAUUUUCUGGGUACAGCUGACAAGAUUGGUCAUGUAGAUGAAAGAAAUUUGUAUGAAGCGGAUACUUUACAGAGAAGAAAAGCUGUAGCUAUGAUAGAGCAAAGGUAUCGAUCUCAAACUCCUGAUUUGAGAAGUAGUGCAAGAAAUCUGUAUCCUCAUGGUAUUCGUGAUAAGAAUGAAAUUAUACAUGGUCAAGAAAGACAACCAAGAAGAAGAUCUAGAUCUUUGGAAGGUCUCCUUGACGAACCAGAGUUUCUAGAACCAGAACCACGACAAAACCGAGUUUCUCCAGGAAGUGCAAUAUCAAGACUUCUUCAAACUACUCAACCUCAGCCUCAAAGCUGCAGAAGUCCUGUUCCAACAAUACCAACAACAAAUGCUCUAAGAUCAUCAAGGUCUAGGGCUCCUCCCCCUCCUCCUGAUGUAUGGGAAGAGGAUUCUCUCUGGAGAGAGAGUUUGAGAAGGGUCAGCAUUAGACAUACACGAUCUCUAGAUAAUCUAGACAGAGAUUCACCAAGAGAGGUUACUCCAACAGAAAAUAGAAAAGUAAGUCGUGAAGUAACUUAUGUAAAUGACAGUGUAACACUGCGAUCAAGAUCAAAUCACCGAGAAUAUGAAGAGGAUUACAGAGAGGGACGUUUAAUCAGACAAGUACGAGCACCAGUAGAGCCUGAGGUCGACGAUGGGGUUCAUUACGAGCGAUUGGUGCCACGUGAUUCUGAAAUUCUUGACAGGACAAGAAGAGGUCAAACCUACAUUGAAGGCUAUGUGUGGGACGAGGAACGAGAAAUGUUUCAUCGUGGAGAAAAGUCGAACAUGCCUAUUCGUGAUCCUCCAAGGAAACCGUCUCAGCCUUUUUUAGAAGUAGGCCUGUACCCAACACGUCCUCCUUCAUUCGAAAUCGAUCGAGAGAAGUUACGCCAGUGGGACCUCAUGUCGAGUGCUCCAGCAGGCAUGUUGGGCGCUGGUGGGGGAGGGGGAGGGGGGCUGAGGCGAGGGGCAGAGAGUGCGCCACUAGUCAACCUAGCAGACAACACGCCUCCCAGUUCACCAGCGUCAGGCUCAGGAUCAGUGAUUGGCAGAGAUCCGUUGCCGCCACGUCAGGUGGUGCCGCCGCCCGUGGUCGACCAGGCACCUCCCAUCACUCAUAAUCCAGAUCUCAUCCACCACAAGAGGCCGGAGAGAGGAUGGAGCCUACAGCUGUCUGCGGGGGAACUGUUGGGCCGCACUCACGAGGAGUUGGUACUACUGCUGAUACAGUUGAGACGACAGAGUGCAGGCUUCUGUAAGGCUAUGGAGGCUUGUCACAUGGAGAUAGAAGCUCAGGCCAGACUUGUGGAAUUGGAAACACCUAAGCGAAUGGAACACCUUCAGAAAUUGGAAGAUCUCAAGAGGCAUUUACUUGAAUUAGAAAAACAGUACGAGAAAGGUAAACCACUUGUAAACCUGGUGGAUAACAUGGUGAAGCUGGGAUCACUAUACAGGGUGGGGGCACCGCUCCCAGGGGCAAGUCCCACCACGGCCCCACUGCUCCGAGAUCGGCUGGAGUUCAACCACCAGGUGCAGGAGCGGAGACUGCUAGCUGAGGAGCGGAGGGACUGGGAGAGACUCAGUCCUGACCACAACCAACUGCAGGCUAAAGUAGAACAACUCUACCGACUUGACAGACUUCUGCAGGAAGAAUCUGGAACUUUACAAAGUCUGCAGCAAGACAAGGAGAUGCUAGAGCGAGCACUUGGUGGACUGAGACACAAACUACAAGCUGUUGGCAGCAACCCGGCUCAAGCAGAGAAGUACCGCAGACAGCAGAGACUCCUUGAGCGAGAGCUUAGCAGGGUGAGGUCCAUCCUUGCUCAUAACUCCAAGAAGCUAGAGGAGACAGUGGCAGAGAAUGCAAGGCUGGAGCAGGAACUGGUAGUGCUGCGCCAGAAACUGGUGUGGUCUCGGCGUGCGCCAGACCAGUCAGUGAGUAGCACCGCACAGCUAGAGGCCGAGCUGGCUCGAGUACAGAGUCUGGUCGGCGACCUGCAACGCCAGAGGCUAGAACUCUCCUCACAGGUGCGACAGCUGACAGAACGCAGCAACUCUCUUAGUCAGCAGAUCAGGCCAUCACCUACUGGAGUACAAGCCUAUCAAAUGGGAUAUUAUAGAACAUAUCCAGGAGUGGGAGCGGUGGGCAGCAAGAAAACACUGACCAGCAGUUGGCUAGAGACUGACCUUGAUACCCAAGUCACACAAGACUUGGGCAGGGACUCCCCUCUAGCACCUCAGGCAUCCCCUCUUUAUGUCAACACUGAUGUCUCCAAAUCGCUUGAUGUCUGCUCCACCUACGAGGGGAGCGUAUCUCAAGACGAUCAGCAGGAGUUGACCAGUGCUCCCCCCACUCCUCAGCAAGCUCCUCCCCCUCCUCCACCCCCUGCCCAGUCUCCUGCCCAUUACACCCGCCCUAUGGCUCCCAUGGAUAUCAGUGAAGCAGAUGAUCGCAUUAAGAGAUUUUAUGGUAUAAUUCCAAGAGAUAAACCUCAGGAAAUAAAGACAGUAAGGAUUGUGAAGAGAGAAUCUGAGAGGAGACAGAGGGACCGAGAUCGUAGUGGCAAUAUCGGAAUUCCACUCACAAACACCACCACAGCCAAAAGAGUCACCAUCAUUGAGGAAAAUGUGCCUGUGGAAUCAGUAGAUAGAGGCUUGGGUCGUGUUGUGGAAGAACAACCAGAACCUCCGAGUGAAGUAUUUGGGGGUUCAUUGGCUCCCCGACCUCCUCCUGCUCCUGGCCCUCGUUCUGACUCCGUACAAGCCCUCAGGAAUCUGGUCACCCGCCAGAGGGCAAGGCUGGACAGUGACAGCACAAGCCCCAGUCACUCAGUUUCGGCCCACGAGCAGUUGUUCGGUAGCAGCGACACACUCUUGUCACCCCAGCUGUCACCUGUGUAUCAGAGCCAAGCAGCACGCCAGAUUGUCGAGGAAAUGGCUGUCACCAACCGACGAGCUGUUCCCAGAGAAAAGCGUCGACACCAUACUGUCAGUGGCAGGCCUUUGCUGAGGAUAGACACGAGUUACUCAGCGGGUGGUUCUCGGGAUGACUUGGAUAUGGAGCGAGCUCUGCGACCACGUCUCAACACUCCGGAUGUUGUUCGCUCCACUCUCUCUCGCUCUGAGGUCAAGUACACAACAGAGACUAUAGAUAGCAUACUGGGCACACCAGGCAAGAUUCUGAUCCCUGAGAGAUAUGUGCCAGAGUCCACUCCGGAGUUAUCAAGUGAGGAACAGCAAAGGCGCAACAAGAAGGCUGAAUCUAUCAGAAAAAUGCUUUCUGAAACUACCCAAAUUUCUGCACCUGAUGACAAUAAUGAACCUGUAGAAGAAGAUGAAAAGUCAUUAACACUGAAGAAGAAAGUGGCUGAAGAGAAACGACAGAGGGAGCACUUGCUUCAGCUGAACCAAAUACUAGCUCAUCAAGUGAUGGAGAAGAGCAAGAUGGUGGCUGGUUCCAAUGCAGCCUCAACACAGGACUGAUCUGUUUUGUCAUAGCUGUGUCGUUAUUUUGUUUUGCCUGCAUUAAACAAAGUGAGGGCUUUGGCAACGUUACCACUGUCGACAACACAGACUGAUGAAAGUGAUUUGUCCUCACCGGAGGAGCCGUUGCCACUCUACCAACAACGAGAGAACUACUUCUCUUAACACUGGCUGGACAAGGCAAGGCAUUGCUACUUCUGCACUGAAGUCUGAAGUCACUACCGACUGCUCCCUGACUACCAACAUUCGAUAACUGGUUGUUCUACUCUAUGUAGUAUCUCUUAAAAUAGGAUUUUUGGUGCAACUUCAAUGGUUCUGCUUUUCUGUACUGCUUCAAUUGAAGUAGAAUAUAACUAUCUAACAUGAACAAGCUAAGUAAGUGUAACUAUUCUAUCUAAAAACUGAAUUUGUACUGCUUCUAAAGUACUGCUAGUGAGAUUCAGCAACUUGUUGGGCACUUCAGGGUCAUAGCCUCAGUAUUACAAUAAUUAGUGUAUUUUACUUGGUUCACUAUUUAUAUUUUUUAAUUUUUAUCAUGAGUAUAGACAAAUGUUGGCUCCAUAACUCUAAGAUGACUAAUAAAAAAGCAUCCUAGUUUGAUGUAAAACCAACCACCAUACACAUAACUUGAUUUGAUAUAGUAUAUUACCAGCAAAAAGUAGUAUAAUGCUCAAUGACUAAACUGUAUAGUAACACAAGUUACAUAUUUUUUUAAUAAUCCGUUUUAUGUUAGUCUGCAAAUAAAUUUUAUCUAAUUUAAAUAUAUCAAGUAUUCUUCAAGUUUGGUUAAAGUUUGUUAAAUCUGUUAAUCAUUUUUUACCCAAGCGUAAGUUUUAUUUCCAUCCAAUAAUUUUUUCUAGCUAGACUAACCGUGCAAUCUCCCCUCAUACAUUUUAUAAUUUUAUCUGCAGAUCUUCAUACAGUAUAGAGCUUAGAGUAUAAAUAUAAGCACAAUUCCCUGUUAUGACCCUAUUAAUUAUACUGUAUUUAAAUGUUCCCUUUGUAUAUAGAAUAAUGAAUAUAUGUAUUAACCUAACCAUUAAGUAUUUGCUACCAAACUGUUGUUUUAAGAUAACAAGGCUCAUGAGUUUGUUAAAAUUGCUCAUAAUUUGGCCUAGAUAAGAUAAGUUUGUAUAAAUAAUUAAUUAACCUUGAAUUACUGUACAAAAAUGUAUAUUUUGUUGAAUUUUAACCAAGUUUUGUAAAGUUGUUGAUUUUAGCAGAUUACUGCUAUUAUUGUUGAUAUGUGUAAUUUGGUUUAGUCUAAACCUCUAGUUAAAAUAUUUAUAUUGUUACAUUUUAUAACAGAUUUUUAUCUGUAAACAAAUAAAUAAACACUUUAAAUGGAUUUCACUUUUAUAGGUAAAAAAAAAAAAAUAGUGAAAUGCAUUUGUAAUGUUUGUUCUAUUAUGUACUUAAUGAUGUAUUAUCAAAUCAAUUAAAAAUAUGCAUAUUUUCGUA
rnacentral:misc_RNA from 1 species